rnacentral:rRNA from 1 species
UACAGAGGCCAAGAGCGUUGUUCGGAUUUACUGGGCGUAAAGGGCGCGUAGGCGGUGAGGCGUGUCAAGUGUGAAAUCUCCGGGCUCAACCCGGAAAGUGCGCUUGAAACUACCCCACUCGAGUCUGGGAGAGGGAAUCGGAAUGCAGGGUGUAGCGGUGAAAUGCGUUGAUAUCCUGCAGAACACCGGAGGCGAAGGCGGAUUCCUUGAACAGCACUGACGCUGAGGCGCGAAAGUCGGGGGAGCAAACAGG